ACCUACGGGGGGCAGCAGUCGGGAAUUUUGCGCAAUGGGCGAAAGCCUGACGCAGCAACGCCGCGUGGAGGAUGAAGGUCUUCGGAUCGUAAACUCCUGUCAGUGGGGACGAAUGCUUCGCAAGAAGUUUGACUGUACCCGCUGAGGAAGCCACGGCUAACUCCGUGCCAGCAGCCGCGGUAAUACGGAGGUGGCAAGCGUUGUUCGGAAUUACUGGGCGUAAAGGGCGCGUAGGCGGCUUUGCAAGUCAGAUGUGAAAUCCCCGGGCUUAACUCGGGAAUUGCAUCUGAAACUGCUUAGCUUGAGUUCUGGAUGGGGUAGUGGAAUUCCCAGUGUAGCGGUGAAAUGCGUAGAUAUUGGGAGGAACACCUGCGGCGAAGGCGGCUACCUGGACAGUAACUGACGCUGAGGCGCGAAAGCUAGGGGAGCGAACGGGAUUAGAUACCCGGGUAGUCCG
rnacentral:rRNA from 1 species